UACGUAGGGUGCGAGCGUUAAUCGGAAUUACUGGGCGUAAAGCGUGCGCAGGCGGUUUUGUAAGCCAGAUGUGAAAGCCCCGGGCUUAACCUGGGAAUGGCAUUUGGGACUGCAAGGCUUGAGUGCGGCAGAGGAGACUGGAAUUCCUGGUGUAGCAGUGAAAUGCGUAGAUAUCAGGAAGAACACCCGUGGCGAAGGCGGCUCUCUGGGACGUGACUGACGCUGAGACGCGAAAGCGUGGGGAGCGAACAGG
rnacentral:rRNA from 1 species